GAUAACUUUCCAGAGAUGGAUAUGUCGCCUUCCGGAACUCUGACACAGGUGCUGCAUGGCUGUCGUCAGCUCGUGUCGUGAGAUGUUGGGUUAAGUCCCGCAACGAGCGCAACCCUUGUCCUUAGUUGCCAGCACGUAAUGGGGGGAACUCUAAGGAGACCCCCGGUGAUAAUGGGAGGAAGGUGGGGAUGACUCCAAGUCAUCAUGGCCCUUACCGUUAGGGCUACCCACGUUCUACAAUGGUAAGAACAGAGGGGUGCAAGCCGGCUACGGUAAGGAACCCCAACAAACCCUAUCUCAACCCGAAUUGAAGUCUGCAGCUCGACUCCUUGAAGUCGGAAUCGCUAGAAAUCCCAUAUCA
rnacentral:rRNA from 2 species